CCCACCUGCUACUGAGAGACUGCACCUUGAUGUCAGUCACAACUGGCAAAGUCAUUUUCGUCAUUCUUUUCUACGCAAUGUACGUCAUGUGAGAACUUCUUCAAUUGAAACUGGGUUCCCUGGAAUUAUAUCUAGACCUUUGUCAAUGAGUUUAGAUUGGCCCCCAAUGGUUCGCAGUAUUAAUAGACUAGCUUCAUCGGUUUGUGAGAACUUCUUCAAUUGAAACUGGGUGCCCUGGAAUUAUAUCUAGACCCUUGUCAAUGAGUUUAGAUUGGCCCCCAAUGGUCCGCAGUAUCAAUAGACUAGCUCCAUCGGUUACAUGCAAUUAUGAUGCUGGGUUUAUCUCUAGACGAACUUCUUUCCAGCAGGAUAUAGCAGCCCAAAGCAUUCAC
rnacentral:lncRNA from 1 species